rnacentral:rRNA from 1 species
CGUGUGGGCAACCUGCCCUGUGCUGGGGAAUAAUCAUUGGAAACGAUGACUAAUACCGCAUGUGGUUCUCGGAAGGCAUCUUCUGAGGAAGAAAGGAUUUAUUCGGUACAGGAUGGGCCCGCAUCUGAUUAGCUAGUUGGUGAGAUAACAGCCCACCAAGGCGACGAUCAGUAGCCGACCUGAGAGGGUGAUCGGCCACAUUGGGACUGAGACACGGCCCAA